UACGUAGGGUGCAAGCGUUAAUCGGAAUUACUGGGCGUAAAGCGUGCGCAGGCGGCUAUGCAAGACAGAUGUGAAAUCUCCGGGCUCAACCUGGGAACUGCAUUUGUGACUGCAUAGCUAGAGUACGGUAGAGGGGGAUGGAAUUCCGCGUGUAGCAGUGAAAUGCGUAGAUAUGCGGAGGAACACCGAUGGCGAAGGCAAUCCCCUGGACCUGUACUGACGCUCAUGCACGAAAGCGUGGGGAGCAAACAGG
rnacentral:rRNA from 1 species